rnacentral:rRNA from 1 species
GAUGAACGCUGGCGGCGUGCCUAAUACAUGCAAGUCGAGCGAACAGACGAGGAGCUUGCUCCUCUGACGUUAGCGGCGGACGGGUGAGUAACACGUGGAUAACCUACCUAUAAGACUGGGAUAACUUCGGGAAACCGGAGCUAAUACCGGAUAAUAUAUUGAACCGCAUGGUUCAAUAGUGAAAGACGGUUUUGCUGUCACUUAUAGAUGGAUCCGCGCCGCAUUAGCUAGUUGGUAAGGUAACGGCUUACCAAGGCAACGAUGCGUAGCCGACCUGAGAGGGUGAUCGGCCACACUGGAACUGAGACACGGUCCAGACACCUACGGGAGGCAGCAGUAGGGAAUCUUCCGCAAUGGGCGAAAGCCUGACGGAGCAACGCCGCGUGAGUGAUGAAGGUCUGCGGAUCGUAAAACGCUGUUAUUAGGGAAGAACAAAUGUGUAAGUAACGAUGCACGUCUGGAGGGUACCUAAUCAGAAAGCCACGGCGAACUACGU